GCCCCGGCCAGGCGCGUCCCCGCCGCGGCCUACGAGUCCCAGGAUGCCGCGGGGCCGAGCGCGCCCCCGGCGGCGCGGCCUGCGCGGGUGCGUUCGCUCGGAGAGGAUAACGGAGUCCUGGAACCCUGGGGUGAGCAGGGCUGGAAGAGUCCUUUAACAUCCCCGAGUCCAACUGUCAACCCAGCCCUGUCCCUGUAACCCCGAAACCACAUCACCCAGCGCCGGAUCCUGACGGCUCUCGAACCCCUCCAGGGACGGUGACUCCACCUCCCUCGGCGAUCUGUUCCCGUGUCUGACCAGCCGAACUGCUCAAAUUUUUCCAAAUAUCUGUCUGGGUGUGGUUUUCAUUUCUUUAGGGGCGCAAAGAAUACGUAGGCUGUAAAAGAAAGGCAUUUAGUUGGAAAAUUUCAGUGACGGAUAAUGCCACAUACAUCAGACUUCAUUUGGACUGAUGUUGGAUGCCAUUUUUAUACAGAACUGGGGUGUUGUAGGACUGGAGAAAAUCUAAGGAAGAACUUCCUGGAGUCUGGAAAUGGCAGAUGAUAUUAUCACUAGGGAAUCUUCCAGUGAGGAAGGGAAAAGCCAGUGCAGAGGUUGUGGAAUUGAAAGUACACAAAGCACUCCAGACCAGUACAGUGAGUUUGCAGGAGGCUGGACUGUUGCAGCAAGUUCUCAGAUCAUCCAAAGGACAGAAGUUGCUGAUUCCAGGACAUUUCUGGACAAAGAAAUGCUGCUGCUUCACCUGGAUUUGUCAGACCCUUUCCACUGUGCUGGGAUGACCCUUGCUCUCUGUGACUCAUCUGAAAGCAUCAGUGCCUUGAGAAUCAUAACCCCAGUGCCCUGGGAAUCAUAAUCUCCUCAGUGUCUAUUUUGUUAUGGUCCAGAUCUUGAGUGACAGCCUGCCUCACAGUUGCACCUCCAAAGUAGAGAGUUGUGUCUUCUGCCAGAAUUCCACACUCAGUACAGUCCUGCUUUUAGGGUCAAAUGGAGCGAGCUGCUCCCUGUGCUGGACACACACCCCGCUGAAGUGAAGCGCCAUCCCCGAGGCGACGGCGCCGCAGACCGUGCUGAGCUUGCCCCCGUUCACUGUCAGCCAGUUCUGGUUCGAGGGGGAGCGGUUGAAGUUGUCCUUCAGCUGGGUGGGAAGGGGGGUCUCUGGCUCGUCGCAGUACAGCCCACCCCAGUGCUCGUCGCAGCUGCAGAGCAAAACAAAUGCACAAAUCAGCUGGCAAAGGCUCUGCAUGUUAUUAAGGGAAUGACCCCUAAUCACCCAAUCAGUUCCACUGGAUGUUUCAGCACAGAAGACAAGUGCUACAGAAAUACAAGGACAAGUAGAUACAAACAAGGCUCCUGUUACGGUGAAUAAUGUAACCAGAAAACAAGUGAACUUUCCUCUGCAGCGGAGGAAGAGGAAUGGCAGGGAUUACUAAGAAGUCAUUACCAUAACAGGAAUCUGUGACAGAGCAGGAAGCUGCAAAAUCUAUUUGCAAGAAAGAGUCUUCAUUGACCACGAUGUCGGUGGUGACGACGUAGCGGGUGCUGGCUUUCUCAAUGAACACCAGAGCAUCCCCCGCAGAGCCGCACACCGGCAUCUUCGUUCCUCCAGGGUGGAGCAGCCACUUCCUGCUGUCCAGGGUGGUGAAAUCAUCUUCCAGUACUGUAUUGCCAGAGAUAUUUCCUCCUAUAAGAAUCUGAAACAUUAGGAAAGAAGCUUUAAUUGAAAAGGAGAAAUGUCUAGAAGUCUUCACAAGCAUGCAAGUGACGUAGCAACCCGAGGGAGGAAGAUUAUACUAUGGGUAUUUAUUCUGCUGGUCCAAAAUUGACAACAUUACUUAGUAGAGAAUUUAGGCCGUGAGAAAGGGGAGUAUCUCUUUCCUAUGCAGGAAAGAGAUUGGCUCAGCUGUACAAAUCUAAAAUUCAGGGAGGUGACUUCCAAUCUCAGUGAAGUAAAACUGCUGGGCAAAAAGUGUUAUCAGAAACAAAGUGAUUGCGCUUUCCUAGUGAUCGUUCUGCUCUUCUGUUGUCUAGUGCACUGUUAUCAGAUUGUGUCUGCUGACAGAAGUGGGGAAAUAGCCUCUGCUUUGUCAUUGACUAUAAAAUAUCAUCGUUUUACUCUUUACCAGCAAGCAAGGUAGAAUUAUUUUUCAUUUGUUAUUCUAAAUUCAGUUCUGAAAAAAUAUAACUACAUUCAACUAA